CUUCAUCUAUUCAAUAACACCGUUUGGUGUACACACUAAAUUGUGGCACUGGAGACUCACAUAGAACUGAAGUAACUCACCAGUUCCUAGAGGCAGGUGGGCACGUAGGGAGAGAGAGGCAGCGGCGCCUUCCAGGCGCUCUCCCUGGUACAGAGGCGGCGGGGGCCAGGGCUGUCAGGACACCCAGGCCCACGUGCCAGGCUCCGGCUCACCUGCCCGAGGGCAGAGCGGGAAGCUCCGCCCCUCGCGGAACCCCGGCCUGUGCGCAGUUCCCGUGCCCUAGGAGUUGGCGGCGGGGCCCAGCCGAGAAUCUUCUUCCCUUCUGGUCUGACUAGGAAAGCCAGAGGGAGAUGGUGAAGGAGACACAGAGAGAGUAAAAGAACAGACCAUGCCCAGCCUCUCCACUGCAGGAGCUUGGAAUCAGAUGGCGGCAUGCAAAGCUCUAAGGUGCAACAGCUGGGGAGCCAAGCUGAAACCUCUCUUCCCUGUCUCAGCAUCUGGAGUCUUCAUGGAAGUGAGAAGUUUGCAGGUUUGCAGCUGCAGCCCUUUCAUGACAAUGAAGCAGAGUUGCCAGCCAUCUAUGGAUCCUAACUAAAUUGGUCCUUGUAAUACUCGGUAUUAUUUGCCAAGAUAUUGAAAAACCUCUAAACAGUGAGAAGCUCCCAGCCCCUUUUCUGUGUCUCUCAUCACCAGCUGCUGUGCCCUGAGGACACCCAGGCAGCCUAAGGAGAGGCCCACAGGUGAGAAACUGCAUGUGUGAGCUGAGCUUGGAAGUGGAUCUUCUAUGUUUUGCCAACAGCCACGUGACUAGUUUUGGAAGCAGAUUCUCCAGCCCCAGCUGCACCUGUGCCAGAGGCACCCAUUAAGCCGCACCUAGUUAAAUUCCUGACCCACAAAGACUUUGAAAUCAUAAAUGUUUGUUGUUUUAAGCUGCUAAGUUUUGAAGUAAUCUGCCAUGUAGCAACAUGAAACUACUUGGACCAAAUAUGUGUUUUUCUAAGCACAGGAAUAUUCACACUUUAUUAAACUUGAGUAUUCCAACAAUAGGAUGGAAGUCCAAGUUUUAUUUCUUUGCUGGGACCCUCACAUGCAUGUAUCACAUAUGUAUCAUUAAAAAAUGAAGGACA
rnacentral:lncRNA from 1 species